rnacentral:rRNA from 1 species
UACGUAGGGUGCGAGCGUUGUCCGGAAUUAUUGGGCGUAAAGAGCUCGUAGGCGGUUUGUCGCGUCUGCUGUGAAAACCCGAGGCUCAACCUCGGGCCUGCAGUGGGUACGGGCAGACUAGAGUGCGGUAGGGGAGAUUGGAAUUCCUGGUGUAGCGGUGGAAUGCGCAGAUAUCAGGAGGAACACCAAUGGCGAAGGCAGAUCUCUGGGCCGUAACUGACGCUGAAGAGCGAAAGCAUGGGGAGCGAACAGG